rnacentral:lncRNA from 1 species
AUGAUGUCUCCCUCUCAUAGUGAAGAUGCUGGUGUUCCACAUCCAAUUGCUCUCGUCUUUCCAAGACUGUGGCACUCCAGGAAAUCUUCCCUACUGAAGGGGGACCACGAGCUACAGUAUCUCUUAGAUGAAAUCAACCGGCUCAGUCUGGGUCUCUCUGUCUGUGUCACACCCAACAUGCUGUCCUCAUGGCUGGAGAGUCAAUCAAUACUCCUUAAUGGUGCAGCUCAUUGCCCUGCACUGAGGAAGCAUUGCAAACUAAAAGGAAGAAAAGUAACAAAGAACUUGAAGACUUUCAUGACUCCCAGGCCCUGGAUGGAGGCAGGCGGCACCAGACAGACAGAACCAAGAAAUCAGAGGGGCAGCCAGGAGGUGCCUGUGGCUGCAGAGCCCAGGUAGGUGCCCGGGAGAGGACGACGGAGGGGCUCACGGGGGAGAGAGGCACAGAGACCCUGAUGGUGGGAGGAGUGGAUGUAGCAGACACGGCGUGGUCAGGAGAGAUUAAGGGGGAAAGGCAGUGCAGAGAGGAGUUGGGAGACUGAGGGAGAGUGGAGGGAGGGGUCCCAAAGGAGCGCAAAAGAAAAAAAGAUGCUUGUAGGCUCUGAUGCAAAAGACUGACCACAGAGCUGGAGAGGGAGGGUUUGUGAACUGAAUCAGAGACUUAAACUGGUUUGAAGUUGGUUCCAACUCUGCCACCCCAGAAACUUCACAGGACAUCAGAGGCUGGGAGUUUGAGAGCAAAUGCUCAGUUGCACAAGAAAAUUCAAAGUGAGUAGGUGUGCCCGAAAGUCGAUCUAAUCAUCCUGGUUGUAUGUCAUAUAGCCACACCUACUCCAGACUUUUGACCUAAACUAGAAGGAAUUCUGGUCUGAUGUUCCGGUCUGAUGGCAUUUUCAGGUUCUCUGCACUCUGAACUGAUGUUUCAGACUCUCCCCUUCUUCCUUCCAGUCUCCCACGGCUGCUCUCAGUAAUGGACUUGGAGUCAGAAGUUCUCAUUCCACCACUUAGCGAGAGGAGCUUAAGCAAGGAAACAUCAGUCUCCUUUUUCUUUGUCUAUAAAAGGGAGAUAAUAAUAUGUUACUGAUGAGCCUUAUAGGAUUUUUCUGAGGAUUGAAUAAGUAAGAUAAUGUGAGUAAGUGCUCUUAAUAGGUUAUAAUUGCUAGCUAAAUAAAAGAUGGCAUUAAUAAUAAUUAAUCA